rnacentral:rRNA from 1 species
AUUGAACGCUGGCGGCAGGCUUAACACAUGCAAGUCGAGCGGGGGAAGGUAGCUUGCUACCGGACCUAGCGGCGGACGGGUGAGUAAUGCUUAGGAAUCUGCCUAUUAGUGGGGGACAACAUCUCGAAAGGGAUGCUAAUACCGCAUACGUCCUACGGGAGAAAGCAGGGGAUCUUCGGACCUUGCGCUAAUAGAUGAGCCUAAGUCGGAUUAGCUAGUUGGUGGGGUAAAGGCCUACCAAGGCGACGAUCUGUAGCGGGUCUGAGAGGAUGAUCCGCCACACUGGGACUGAGACACGGCCCAGACUCCUACGGGAGGCAGCAGUGGGGAAUAUUGGACAAUGGGGGGAACCCUGAUCCAGCCAUGCCGCGUGUGUGAAGAAGGCCUUAUGGUUGUAAAGCACUUUAAGCGAGGAGGAGGCUACUUUAGUUAAUACCUAGAGAUAGUGGACGUUACUCGCAGAAUAAGCACCGGCUAACUCUGUGCCAGCAGCCGCGGUAAUACAGAGGGUGCGAGCGUUAAUCGGAUUUACUGGGCGUAAAGCGUGCG